AAGUGGUUACAAAAGAACAUAUUUCGCUUUACACGCGGGAGGUCACAGGUUCAAGUCCUGUACCGCCCA
rnacentral:tRNA from 1 species